AUUGAACGCUGGCGGCAUGCCUUACACAUGCAAGUCGAACGGCAGCACGGGAGCAAUCCUGGUGGCGAGUGGCGAACGGGUGAGUAAUAUAUCGGAACGUGCCCAGUAGUGGGGGAUAACUGCUCGAAAGAGCAGCUAAUACCGCAUACGACCUGAGGGUGAAAGGGGGGGAUCGCAAGACCUCUCGCUAUUGGAGCGGCCGAUAUCAGAUUAGCUAGUUGGUGGGGUAAAGGCCUACCAAGGCAACGAUCUGUAGUUGGUCUGAGAGGACGACCAGCCACACUGGGACUGAGACACGGCCCAGACUCCUACGGGAGGCAGCAGUGGGGAAUUUUGGACAAUGGGCGCAAGCCUGAUCCAGCAAUGCCGCGUGCAGGAAGAAGGCCCUCGGGUUGUAAACUGCUUUUGUCAGGGAAGAAAUCCUCUAGGUUAAUACCCUUGGGGGGAUGACGGUACCUGAAGAAUAAGCACCGGCUAACCACGUGCCAGCCGCCGCGGUAAUAC
rnacentral:rRNA from 1 species